CAGUUAAUAUUGCCACACACGU
rnacentral:piRNA from 1 species